AAAUCUAACUAUUCCUUCCAAAUAUCUAAUAUAAGGAUAUUUUCUAGAACACGUCUCCUCUUUCUUCCAUCUGUUUUUCUCUAGAACUUUCUAGUGCACCUCCCAUUAUUAUAUCACUCAAACUCACUCCUUAACUCCCAUCAAAACCCACAUCACUCGAAACCCAUUUGUUUAUCCAUCUUAAUUGUAAUUAGCCACUGAACAAGUUCAAAAAGAUAAUGGAAGAAGUAGUGAAAGUGAAGGUCGAAGAAGAGGGCAUUUCGACUGCCGUGCUGCCUAUGGAAGGGCUGCACGACGUUGGUCCUCCACCAUUUCUAUGCAAAACUUAUGAAAUGGUGGAAGACUCUUCAACUGAUUCAGUGAUUUCUUGGAGCAGAGCAAAGAAUAGCUUUAUUGUUUGGGAUUCUCAUAAAUUCUCCACCACAUUGCUGCCUAGGUUUUUCAAGCACAGUAAUUUCUCCAGUUUUAUUCGUCAGCUUAACACAUAUGGUUUUAGGAAGGUGGAUCCUGACAGAUGGGAAUUUGCAAAUGAAGGUUUUUUGGGAGGACAGAAGCAUCUUUUGAAGACCAUAAAGAGGAGGAGGAAUGUUGGGCAAAGCAUGAAUCAACAAGGAUCUGGCGCUUGCAUUGAAAUAGGUUAUUAUGGGUUGGAGGAGGAGCUUGAAAGAUUAAAGCGAGAUAAAAACCUUUUGAUGAAUGAAAUAGUUAAACUUAGGCAGCAACAGCAGAGUACGAGAAAUCAGAUCAUUGCUAUGGGAGAAAAAAUUGAAAGCACGGAGAGGAAACAAGAGCAGAUGAUGAGUUUCCUUGCAAAGAUAUUCAGUAAUCCAACUUUUCUCCAGCAGUACUUGGACAAACAUGUUCAGAGAAAAGAUAAACAACGUAUUGAAGUUGGACAAAAGAGGAGACUGACAAUGACCCCUAGUACCGAGAACCUUCAAGACAUAGCCAGAGGAAAUAAUCAGCCUAUGAAUUACUCAAACCAAGAGCGUGAAGCUGAGCUUGCAAGUAUUGAAAUGUUAUUCUCUGCUGCAAUGGACAAUGAAUCAAGCAGCAAUGUCAGGUCGGCUUCUGUUGCGACAGCAAAUGGAACAGAUAUGGAACCAGUGCCUGAGAAUAUUUGGGACGAGUUGCUCAGUGAAGAUCUUAUAUCUGGGGAUCGAGCAGAGGAAGUACUGAUUGUUGAACAACCUGAACUAGACGCGGAAGUUGAAGAUCUUGUUGCAAAAACUCCUGAAUGGGGUGAGGAAUUAGAAGACCUUGUAGAUCAACUUGGUUUCGUUUAGGUCCAAUCCCUAAAAGCUUCUCAUUGAGGGAACUCUUGCUGUUCCUCUGGCCUCCUUAACACAAUUCCAGUAUCCUAUAUUGAGUUACUGCUUUCAAAUAUGUUUUGCUAAUAUCUUGUACUUGUUAUUUCUCUUAUAUAGCAGGGAAUGAUAAAGUUAUGGGACGCCUAAAGCUAUAUUUUCUAUUUUAUAUCUUUUAUUAUUAUUUAGAUUGUACUAAUGUUUUUUGAAAAGUGAAGUGCAGAAUUAAUAUUUCCUUUUCGUUUGGUUUAUUUUUCAGGUUAAGAUGCAGAUCUACUUUCAAGAAGCUUUGAGAGUUGAGACAAUCUCUAGUAGCGCAUGUAUACAAAUUUCAAAUAGAUCGAGAAGAAGAAGAGCCUAGCAAGUGAGCAGCAUGGCUUAAUACUAAAAGAAGGUUUCCUCUUUAGGAAAAAAAGGAGAUUAGUGUCUGUAUCCGUUGUCUACUAAUGCGUCUUUAUAUCAAAUAUUUACAGCUUAAAUAGGUGCUGUGGACAACCCGAACGCACAAAUUGCUCCAAAAUGAUAUGUUGUUCUUUAUUAAUUUUCCUUCUUAAGAGAUGAGAGUGUUUAGCUAGUUGUCCUUUCAAGAUUAACAUCUUAAUAUGAUAGUUGUCUAAUUUCAGGUAUCAAAUUUCAUUAAUAUGUAUAUGAUUUUUCAGGCUCUACAAAAAUAAAAGUCAAGUUUAUAUGUGAUAAUCUUGUUCCGCUAUUUAACUAGAUUAUUAUAGUGGGGUAUCGUCGUUUGUGUUGAAAGUGCAUCUGCCAGCUAAAAGUUAAAUUUAAUUUAUUAGUUACACAG